rnacentral:rRNA from 1 species
CAAUAGCGUAUAUUAAAGUUGUUGCAGUUAAAAAGCUCGUAGUCGGAUUUUGGCAUGAUCUAAUGCGUCGGCCGAUCGGUUGUACGUGUUGGGUUAUGCUUCCUUCUGGAGGUCUGCGCUGCUCUUAACUGAGUGGUGUAGGUGUUCAGAUAUUUUACUUUGAAAAAAUUAGAGUGUUCAAAGCAAGCUUAUGCUGUGAAUACAUUAGCAUGGGAUAAUGGAAUAGGACUUUGGUUCUAUUUUGUUGGUUUCUAGGACCGAAGUAAUGAUUAAUAGGGAUAGUUGGGGGCAUUCAUAUUUAAUUGUCAGAGGUGAAAUUCUUGGAUUUAUGAAAGAUGAACUUCUGCGAAAGCAUUUGCCAAGGAUGUUUUCAUUGA